CAGCAGCCACGGUAAUACGGAGGGGGCUAGCGUUGUUCGGAAUUACUGGGCGUAAAGCGCACGUAGGCGGCUUGGUAAGUUAGAGGUGAAAGCCCGGAGCUCAACUCCGGAAUUGCCUUUAAGACUGCCGAGCUAGCAGGUGAGAGAGGUAAGUGGAAUUCCGAGUGUAGAGGUGAAAUUCGUAGAUAUUCGGAAGAACACCAGUGGCGAAGGCGGCUUACUGGCUCAUACUGGACGCUGAGGUGCGAAAGCGUGGGGAGCAAACAGGAUUAGAUACCCCCGUAGUCCCUGUCUCUUAUAC
rnacentral:rRNA from 1 species